AGUGAACGUUGGCGGCGUGGAUUAGGCAUGCGAGUCGAGCGAGAACCGUAGCAAUACGGGGACAGCGGCGAAAGGGACAGUAAUAUGUAGGUACCUACCCUCGGGUCCGGGAUAGCUGCGGGAGACUGCAGGUAAUACCGGAUGACAUCUCCGGAUCAAAGGUGUGAUGCCGCCCGGGGAGGGGCCUGCAUCCUAUUAGCUAGUUGGCGGGGUACGGCCCACCAAGGCGACGAUGGGUAGCGGGUGUGAGAGCACGACCCGCGUCAUUGGGACUGAGACACUGCCCAGACACCUACGGGUGGCUGCAGUCGAGAAUCUUCGGCAAUGGGGGAAACCCUGACCGAGCGACGCCGCGUGCGGGAUGAAGGCCUUCGGGUUGUAAACCGCUGUCGUAGAGGAGGAAAUGCAGCGGGGUUCUCCCCUCUGUUUGACCUAGUCUAGGAGGAAGGACGGGCUAAGUUCGUGCCAGCCGCCGCGGUAAGAC
rnacentral:rRNA from 1 species